rnacentral:rRNA from 1 species
GGUAAUUUGACCGUGCAAAGGUAGCAUAAUCAUUAGUUUUUUAAUUGAAAGCUGGAAUGAAAGGUUGGAUGAGAAAGAGACUGUCUCUAUUUAAUUUGUUUAGAAUUUUAUUUUUAAGUUAAAAAGCUUAAAUUUUAAUAGAAGACGAGAAGACCCUAUAGAGUUUUAUUGAUAUUUUUUAUGAGAUUAAUAGUAUUUUUUAUUUUUAUAUAGUAUAUUAAUUUAGUUGGGGUGAUUGAAAAAUUUAAUUAACUUUUUUUUUAUAAGAACAUUUAUAUAUGAUUAUUUGAUCCUUAAUUUAAGAUUAAAAGAUUAAAUUACCUUAGGGAUAACAGCGUAAUUUUUUUUGAGAGUUCAAAUCGAAAGAAAAGAUUGCGACCUCGAUGUUGGAUUAAAAUAAAAUUUUGGUGUAGAAGCUAAAG